UUAGAUAUGAAUUGAUUUUUGUUUGGAUAAACUUAUUUAAAAGUGAUUCUUAUGAGUGGAUGUUGUUUGGAUAG
rnacentral:pre_miRNA from 1 species